rnacentral:rRNA from 1 species
AAUAUGCCACUAGGGAGGGAACUCUGAUGCAGCAACGCCGCGUGAGUGAAGAAGGUAUUCGGAUCGUAAAACUCUGUCUUUGGGGAAGAAUAAAUCACGGUACCCAAUGAGGAAGCCCUGGCACACGACGCGCCAGUAGCGGCGGUAAUACGUAUGUGGCACGCGUUGUCCGGAAUUAUUGGGCGUAAAGGGUGCGUAGGCGGCCCUUUAAGUCAGAUGUGAGAGGCCACGGCUUAACCGUGUGACUGCGUUUGAAACUGGAGGGAUAGUGUUUCGGAGAGGGCAGAGGAGUUCCCAGUGUAGCGGUAGUAUGCGUAGAUAUAGGAAGGAACACCAGUGGCGAAGGCGACUGCCUGGACUGAUACUGACACUGAGGUGCGAAAGCGUGGGGAGCAAACA